rnacentral:rRNA from 1 species
UUAAAUUGAAGAGUUUGAUCAUGGCUCAGAUUGAACGCUGGCGGCAGGCCUAACACAUGCAAGUCGAACGGUAGCACAGAGAGCUUGCUCUCGGGUGACGAGUGGCGGACGGGUGAGUAAUGUCUGGGAAACUGCCUGAUGGAGGGGGAUAACUACUGGAAACGGUAGCUAAUACCGCAUAACGUCGCAAGACCAAAG